rnacentral:rRNA from 1 species
UGCAAGUCGAACGAGAAAGGGAAGGGCUUGCUCUUCCCCGGUAAAGUGGCGCACGGGUGAGUAACACGUAGAUGACCUACCUUCCGGUGGGGGAUAACGUUCCGAAAGGAGCGCUAAUACCGCGUAAGACCACACCAUAAGGGAAGUGGUUAAAGUCGGCCUCUUCAUGAAAGCUGGCGCCGGGAGACGGGUCUGCGGCCCAUCAGGUUGAUGGUGGGGUAAUGGCCUACCAUGCCUAAGACGGGUAGCUGGUCUGAGAGGAUGAUCAGCCACACUGGAACUGAGACACGGUCCAGACUCCUACGGGAGGCAGCAGUGGGGAAUCUUGCGCAAUGGGCGAAAGCCUGACGCAGCGACGCCGCGUGAGUGAUGAAGGCCCUAGGGUUGUAAAGCUCUGUGGAGUGGGACGAAUAAGCAACGGUUAAUACCCGUUGUGAUGACGGUACCUCUUUAGCAAGCACCGGCUAACUCUGUGCCAGCAGCCGCGGUAAGACAGAGGGUGCAAACGUUGUUCGGAAUUACUGGGCGUAAAGCGCGUGUAGGCUGCUGCGCAAGUCGGGUGUGAAAGCCCAGGGCUCAACCCUGGAAGUGCACUCGAAACUGCGUAGCUGGAGUCUCGGAGAGGGAGGCGGAAUUCUGGGUGUAGAGGUGAAAUUCGUAGAUAUCCAGAGGAACACCGGUGGCGAAGGCGGCCUCCUGGACGAGUACUGACGCUGAGACGCGAAAGCGUGGGGAGCAA